GAAAAGGCAGGCAAAGAGGAGGAGAAGAGCAAGAAGUUAGGAUGAAAAAAGGGAAACAAAGUGUUCAAAAAGCUGCACAAGAGAAGCAAGCAAGGGCUGUCUGUGAAGGAGUUGGGCCGUGGGAAUGAGGAAGGCCUGGAGACAUUUCUGGACACUCAUCCAUCUUAUUUUGAGCAUGUCUGGAAGCCUGGAAGUAACCCUAAAGUUAUCUUCCCACAUGCAGACUGAAGAGGAUGGUAAUGGUGGUAGGAAGGAAAUUUCCUACAUUUAGUUUUUGAGAACUGCAGCAAAUAGCUGCAUCUUGGUCACCAAGUGUCCAAACACACUGGGAACCUUUUUGGGGUGCAUGACAUCACUGAUUCUUUGAAAUGAAAGGACAUUUGAAAUAAAAAUCUAGUGGCCUCUGCUAAAAAACUGAAAAUAGGCCAUCAUCGGGUUUCUCAACAGGACAUGGAUCUAAAAAGGUGGCCAAAUCAGGCACAAAAUGAGCCUUCUUCCAUGGGCAUCUCAGUCUCAAGACCCAAAUCCUUCAGACAACGUGUGGAAAAAAAAGAAAGCAUGAGCAAGGAUCUGAGAUUCUGGACGAUGUAGAGCAAUGAGGUCCAAAUUUUGUGUUAUGCAGACCACAAAUAUUCAUUUUUUUUUAACCAGGACAAAAAGAAGCUUAGAUUUUGUAGUAAAUUGAUCUAUAAACCAUUACGGAUCCAAAGCAUAAAAAGAGUCUCAUGUAUUUGCCUGAUUGAAAAAAAGGAAUUCAGUUUGUAGGUAGAUUGUUUUCUAUUUUCUUGGUUAAUAAGAACUUUUUAAAGUGGCAUGAGCAAAACGUGGGUCGCUAUUUGUUCAAAACUUUUUUUCUAUAUUUAACCAAGUUUAAUAAAUGGGUUUUACCCAAGUCUGUUUUUGCGUAAAACUCACUGGACAUUAUUGAUCCUAUUUACUUACUAAAAAUCAAGUAAAAAAUGUGGGUAAUGACAAAUCAUGUCAUACCAAACAAUUUCUAUUGUUAAUGUUUGUUUUGUUUGUCAGUGAAUGUCUCACUCAGAAAUGUAAAAAGUGCCUAUCUGAAUAAACCACCUUUGGUCUCCGA